rnacentral:lncRNA from 1 species
AGCCACACGCGCAGCACAUGGACGCUUCCAGUCUGGGGGUCGAAUCACAGCUGCAAGUGCCGGCCACAGCCACAGCCACAGCAGCACUGCACCUAACCUGCAUGUGUGACCCACACCGCAGCCCGCAAUAAUGCCGGGUCCUUAACCCACGGGGUGAGGCCAGGGAUGGACCUGCAUCCUCACAGAUACUAGCAGGGUUUUUAACCGACUGAGCCACAUUUAAACUUUUCUGGCAGAUUUUCCCCGAGAGUUCUAACCCACACGUUGACAGUCACUCGGGGCUUUUAUCUGCAAAAAGCUCAGGGCACUCAAUUCACCAGUUCGUCCACUCACAGGUGGCGUCCACCCUCACGCCACCUUGUCCCUCCAGCGCAGACCUCGACUACACGUCACUCUUCCGACGGCUGUCGGGGAAGAACCGGGGUCUGCGAGGCCCAACCGCAGUUACCGGUUUUUCUGGGCAGCGAUGACUAAUUGGGAGGCCGACAGUGCAGUUUUAGUCUUUCUUACGGGCCUCCCAAAGAACGAUGAGAGAUUUCCUUUAUUUUUUUUUUGUAAAUAGAGAAAACAUUUCGUCUUGCAACUGCUACAUGGGUCCACCAGACCCCCAUGUCUAAGACCCAAGACGUCUCUAAGCAUCUCGCUUCUCCUGCAUCAUGAUGCGCUUCCAUCACCAUAAGCACUGUCUUGCCACACGCAAGUGUUCCCAACUGGGCCAACAACGACUUCAGUCACAAGGGGGCGGCAGCACCAGGGAACCACCCGGGAGGAUGGGGGCGCUUCGCCUCUGCUUUCUAACUGACGGGAGAGCCUCUCUCUGCAGCCAGCUCUCUGUACGGCCGUUCGUUAAGAAUUCCUCGCUUUCCUCCCAAAUGACAGAACAAAGUCGGCAGCGAGGACUCUGCACAAUCAUCAGAUGAAUCCAGAGGAGAACCCAAGGAGGCCGCCGUCAGGGCCAGGGUGCCAGCGAGGCCGAGGGUGAAAGUGACGCCGCAGACGCCAAGCUCUCACAGGACACACCUGCAUCGGUCUCCCCGCAACCGGGCAUCCGUGAGUGAACGGUUCAUCUGAGGACAAGCAGAAAUGAGAGGGCUGUCCACACGGACGCCACGGGAGAAACGGUCCCGCGAAUAACUUAACGCCCCAAACUGCAAGAUUAGAUGAAAGGACAAAUUCCAAGAGAAAGCACAACUGAGGAGUCUGCUAAGCCGACGUCAGCGAGUCGGCUCUGUCAUUAGGGUCUUUCCACAAAGGCUGCUUCAGUCCCCGACAGCUACACCGUCUUCCACCAGUGAGAACGGAGGACACGCCUCAGCGCGUCACCUGCCCCAGCACAACCUCGCGCCUUUGCCGUAUCAACUGCGUGAACCCUGUGACUUUUCUCUUUGAAGAGGAAACGAAUCACACUCAUUUUUUCUUUAAUGGUGAACCUAUCCUGUACUUCACCAACAUACACUCCACUCACAGCCACCACACUGUUAAGACAGAAGACAACAUCAACACCAAUGAUGACGGCUUACAGAACAAGUAAACCUUUCCUACGCCGCCGCCGAAAAUAUAAACUCAGCUGUUUUAAAACACAGCUCAACAGAUCACGCUGAACAUGUACCUACACACUGACCCGGCCGCUAAACACCUAAUUACAGCCCCAAAGAUACAUGGUGUGGGAAUGUUUACAAACAAGCCAACCAAGGUACACUCAUGCAGCAAAACACUAUACAACAACGAAGACCAAUGAACUAUAGCCUUUACCAUGGAUGAAUCACUAAACAAGAUGCUGGAUACGAAGGCCCAGACUCAGGACGUGUACGCUGGAUUAGUCUAUUUAUAGAACACUCAAAGCCAGCAAAGCUAACCUACUGCUCUAAAGGUGAAGGUGGGAGCCCCUGGUGAGGCCCAGCACUAACAAACCCAGCUAGAAUCCACGAGGACAAGGGUUCGAUCCCUGGCCUUGCUCAGUGGGUUAAGCAUCCAGUGAUGCAGUGAGCUGUGGUGUAGGUGGUAGAUGCAGCUCAGAUCCCGUGUCGCUAUGGCUGUGGUGGAGGCCAGCAGCUGCGGCUGCAGCUCCAAUUCGUCCCCUAGCCUGGGAACCUCCAUAUGCCACAGGUGUGGCCCUAAGAGAAUAAAUAAAUAAAUAACAUGAAAGUCAAGGUGCUCCAUACACAGAAAGUAACUUGAGAUGGAUCACAGACUUAAACAUAGAAACCAGACCAUAAAGUUUCAAGAAGACACAGGAGAGUAUUUCACGACCUCAAGGCGAGGAGAGACCUCCUGGACAGGAAUGGAAAUCACUACCCACAGGAAAAAGUGCUACAUUCAACAACAAAGUUAAGAGCAUCCGUUUAUCCAAGACACCAUUAAGAAACUAGGCAAAGAGCCCACUGCAGCACAGUGGGUUAAAGACCUGGCAUUACCGCAGCUAUGGUGUAGGUGUCAGCUGCAGCUCAGAUUCAAACCCUGGC